UACGUAGGGGGCAAGCGUUGUCCGGAUUUAUUGGGCGUAAAGAGCGUGUAGGCGGCCAGGUAGGUCUGCUGUGAAAACUCGAGGCUAACCUCGAGCUGUCGGCGGAAACCAUCUGGCUAGAGUCCGGAAGAGGAGAAUUGGAAUUCCCGGUGUAGCGGUGAAAUGCGCAGAUAUCGGGAAGAACACCCGUGGCGAAGGCGGUCUC
rnacentral:rRNA from 1 species